CUCAAACCUUCAUGCUGGAGUGGGCCACUGACCUGAUCCAUGCAAAGUCCUUUAUUUCCUUCCUGUCUCUCUUGAGUUUGUUGAAUGCUGUGUUUUAAAGUUCCAAUCUUGAUUGGACUGUGAUGACAGAAUUAAGGAAAGAAGACGCAUAUGAAAUCCUCCUGGGAGGAAGGUGAAUGACUGCAGACCAGAGCUCAGAACUUCAGACCCAUCUUCACACCCUACAGAUUCCAUGUCUGAGCUCAGACUUGAAGCUGUGAACACAUGAGACAGUGCAGUCUGAGGCAGCAGCAGCAGCAAAGGCGCAGGGGUAAGCAGGAGACAACUGAGGAAUACCUCCUAUUCCACUGAGGCUGACUCUUGCGCUUCUAGGCUGGAUAUACUGUUUGCCGUCAUGUCUUCCUUGCAUCUGGAGCACAGCCAAAACCCAUUCAGGAAAUUAUGCUGUUUACUACUCUAGAACAACUUUUAAGAAGAUUAGCAGGUAUCUGGGAAAAAUAUGGCAGAGUUGAGGUGGGAAAAAGGAGGGGUGAGAUAUGAGUUUGAUUGCUCUUUAGGCCAAACAUGUUGGGUGCCCUUUGAUGCCAUGCCAACAGAAAAUAAUCUGACUUGAAAGAGAAGUGGUUGAGCAUUGCCAAGGCAGGUAGGACCAUAAGCAGCCUUGACAAAGAUGCCUGUGCCCCCUGGAAUGGCACAGAAAUGGCAGGGGACUGAGGAUGUGAAGGUCUCUGUGAGCGAAUAAACCAAUGAUGAUGCAAGGUAACCAAGGAUGGGAUGAGUCACAAGUUGACUGGGGCAGAGCAAUCAAGGAUAUGGAUAACCAAUGGCUGAAUGGACUUGCUGCAUCUCAUCCACGUAGGCACUGCAAAUAUCACAGAUUUGUG
ensembl:lncRNA